AAUAGAUACCCAGGUAGUCCACGCCGUAAACGAUGAGUGCUAAGUGUUAGAGGGUUUCCGCCCUUUAGUGCUGCAGCUAACGCAUUAAGCACUCCGCCUGGGGAGUACGGCCGCAAGGCUGAAACUCAAAGGAAUUGACGGGGGCCCGCACAAGCGGUGGAGCAUGUGGUUUAAUUCGAAGCAACGCGAAGAACCUUACCAGGUCUUGACAUCCUCUGCCAACCCUAGAGAUAGGGCGUUCCCCUUCGGGGGACAGAGUGACAGGUGGUGCAUGGUUGUCGUCAGCUCGUGUCGUGAGAUGUUGGGUUAAGUCCCGCAACGAGCGCAACCCUUGACCUUAGUUGCCAGCAUUCAGUUGGGCACUCUAAGGUGACUGCCGGUGACAAACCGGAGGAAGGUGGGGAUGACGUCAAAUCAUCAUGCCCCUUAUGACCUGGGCUACACACGUGCUACAAUGGAUGGUACAAAGAGCAGCGAACCCGCGAGGGUAAGCCAAUCUCAUAAAGCCAUUCUCAGUUCGGA
rnacentral:rRNA from 1 species